rnacentral:rRNA from 1 species
AAGCUCGUAGUUGAACCUUGGGCCUGGCUGGCCGGUUCGCCCACCGCGUGCACUGGUCCGGCCGGGCCUUUCCCUCUGUGGAACCCCAUACCCUUCACUGGGCGUGGCGGGGAAACAGGACAUUUACUUUGAAAAAAUUAGAGUGCUCCAGGCAGGCCUAUGCUCGAAUACAUUAGCAUGGAAUAAUAAAAUAGGACGCGCGGUUCUAUUUUGUUGGUUUAUGGGACCGCCGUAAUGAUUAAUAGGGACAGUCGGGGGCAUCAGUAUUCAACUGUCAGAGGUGAAAUUCUUGGAUCAGUUGAAGACUAACUACUGCGAAAGCAUUUGCCAAGGAUGUUUUCAUUAAUCAGGAACGAAAGUUAGGGGAUCGAAGACGAUCAGAUACCGUCGUAGUCUUAACCAUAAACUAUGCCGACUAGGGAUCGGACGGUGUUAUUCAUGACCCGUUCGGCACCUUACGAGAAAUCAAAGUGCUUGGGCUCCAGGGGGAGUAUGGUCGCAAGGCUGAAACUUAAAGAAAUUGACGGAAGGGCACCACCAGGGGUGGAGCCUGCGGCUUAACUUGACUCAACACGGGGAAACUCACCAGGUCCAGACACAAUAAGGAUUGACAGAUUGAGAGCUCUUUCUUGAUUUUGUGGGUGGUGGUGCAUGGCCGUUCUUAGUUGGUGGGGUGACUUGUCUGCUUAAUUGCGAUAACGAACGAGACCUUAACCUGCUAAAUAGCCCGCAUUGCUCCGGCAGUGCGCUGGCUUCUUAGAGGGACUUUCGGCUCAAGCCGA